rnacentral:rRNA from 1 species
UACGAAGGGGGCUAGCGUUGCUCGGAAUCACUGGGCGUAAAGGGUGCGUAGGCGGGUCUUUAAGUCAGGGGUGAAAUCCUGGAGCUCAACUCCAGAACUGCCUUUGAUACUGAAGAUCUUGAGUUCGGGAGAGGUGAGUGGAACUGGCGAGUGUAGAGGUGAAAUUCGUAGAUAUUCGCAAGAACACCAGUGGCGAAGGCGGCUCACUGGCCCGAUACUGACGCUGAGGCACGAAAGCGUGGGGAGCAAACAGG